GACGAACGCUGGCGGCGUGCUUAACACAUGCAAGUCGUACGGUAAGGCCCUUUCGGGGGUACACGAGUGGCGAACGGGUGAGUAACACGUGAGUAACCUGCCCACAACUUUGGGAUAACGCUAGGAAACUGGUGCUAAUACUGGAUAUGUGCUCCUGCUGCAUGGUGGGGGUUGGAAAGCUCCGGCGGUUGUGGAUGGACUCGCGGCCUAUCAGCUUGUUGGUGGGGUAGUGGCCUACCAAGGCGGCGACGGGUAGCCGGCCUGAGAGGGUGACCGGCCACAUUGGGACUGAGAUACGGCCCAGACUCCUACGGGAGGCAGCAGUGGGGAAUAUUGCACAAUGGGCGCAAGCCGGAUGCAGCAACGCCGCGUGCGGGAUGACGGCCUUCGGGUUGGAAACCGCUUUCAGCAGGGACGAAGCUUUUUGUGACGGUACCUGCAGAAGAAGCACCGGCUAACUACGUG
rnacentral:rRNA from 1 species